rnacentral:pre_miRNA from 1 species
GAUGUUAAGUAGGCACUUGCAGGCAAAGUAACAAUUCGAUCGUUGACUGCUUUUUCCUACUUUACAUU